UACGAAGGGUGCAAACGUUGCUCGGAAUUAUUGGGCGUAAAGCGCACGUAGGCGGCUUUGCAAGUCCCAUGUGAAAUCCCACGGCUCAACCGUGGAAGUGCAUGGGAAACUGCAGAGCUUGAGUACUUAAGAGGAUCGCGGAAUUCCCGGUGUAGAGGUGAAAUUCGUAGAUAUCUGGAGGAACACCGGUGGCGAAGGCGGCGUCCUGGACCAACACUGACACUGAUGAGCGAAAGCCAGGGGAGCAAACGGG
rnacentral:rRNA from 1 species